AUUGAACGCUGGCGGCAUGCUUUACACAUGCAAGUCGAGCGGCAGCGCGGGGGCAACCCUGGCGGCGAGCGGCGAACGGGUGAGUAAUGCAUCGGAACGUACCCUGGAGUGGGGGAUAACGCCGUGAAAGCGGCGCUAAUACCGCAUAUGCUCUGAGGAGGAAAGUGGGGGACCGCAAGGCCUCACGCUCUGGGAGCGGCCGAUGUCCGAUUAGCUAGUUGGUGGGGUAAAGGCUUACCAAGGCGACGAUCGGUAGCUGGUCUGAGAGGAUGAUCAGCCACACUGGGACUGAGAAACGGCCCAGACUCCUACGGGAGGCAGCAGUGGGGAAUUUUGGACAAUGGGGGCAACCCUGAUCCAGCCAUGCCGCGUGAGUGAAGAAGGCCUUCGGGUUGUAAAGCUCUUUUGGUCGGGAAGAAAGUGCUCUGCUUAAUACGCGGGGUAUUUGACGGUACCGGCAGAAUAAGCACCGGCUAACUACGUGCCAGCCGCCGCAGUAAAAC
rnacentral:rRNA from 1 species